CUCAGCACCAACAGAGAGCACCAGCUCAGCACCAACAGACAGCACCAGCUCCGCACCAACAGACCGCACCAGCUCCGCACCAGCAGAAAGCGGAUCCACGACUAAGUCAGGAACCUCCAACACUGCAGCCAGAACAACAGCAACACUGAGUGCCAGACCAUCAGCGGCAUCACAGGGCCCCACAAGUCAGACAGCCGCACACCCAUCAACAGGAACAACCAACAAUGCCCCAUCCACCACCGGAACGGAAGCACCAGUUACUGGCAACAAGAGCCUACCAUUUUGGGCCAUAAUCAUUAUAGUCCUGGCUAUCCUGCUCGCCAUACUCAUUAUAUGCACUAUUUGU